CCCAGUCUGGGGACCAGGGGCCGGUGACGGGGGUGACCCCGUUCCGGAAGGCCGCGGCCGCCCUAGCACUCCAUGGUCUCUCCGCCCCCGGCGGCCAGAGAGACUAACAAGUGUGUUUCCUUGCGUUUUACGGGGAAACCGAGACCCGGAGAGAGACGCAGCGACGUUUCCUUGUGCUCCAGACCCCACCGCCCAACUCCGAGACACCUUCCAGCAGCGUCGGGUCCCAGGCUGGAAACGCCUUGUGUCAGGCCCAGUCUAAACAGUAAGGCUUGCAUUUAUUGAGCAUUCACUCAGUACCAGGCGCUUUACACAGUUUAUACCAAUAUCCUGAAAGGAGGAAGCCAGACAUGGAAAACAGCCCUCCUACCCUAAACAAUUCUCAAGUACACCCCACAUCCUGAGACAGCAUAGAAGACCAAAUAAACAGAACAGCCUGCUACACAUGCAGUGAAGUCUGCCCUCCCCAGCUGGAAAGCAAGCCCUAGGACGGGGAAAAAAAAAAGUCCUCUCAUGUCACCUCUGUAUUUCCCACAGCACAGACUGGCCGUGUUGAUUGAAUAAAAAAAUGAUGUGACAAUG